UACGUAGGGGGCAAGCGUUGUCCGGAUUUACUGGGCGUAAAGGGCGCGUAGGCGGUCAGCACAAGUCAGUUGUGAAAUCUCCGGGCUUAACUCGGAAAGGUCAACUGAUACUGUGCGACUAGAGUGCAGAAGGGCAACUGGAAUUCUCGGUGUAGCGGAUGAAAUGCGUAGAUAUCGAGAGGAACACCUGCGGCGAAGGCGGGUUGCUGGGCUGACACUGACGCUGAGACGCGAAAGCGUGGGGAGCAAACAGG
rnacentral:rRNA from 1 species